AUUCAGCCAUUGAAACCCAGCAGAGGAGCAGGCAGGGAAGGGAGGGUGGAAGGACAGAGGCUCCCCUUUCUUCUGGGCUUGGUUCCGGAGGAGGCCAAAAGAGAGUUUACCAGGGAAGCAAUUUGAAGGCAAAAGUCCACUCUAAAGUGAAGAUUCCUCCAGAAGCCGUCCACGGAGACCACGAUCAGGAAGCCUGGGCCGAGGAGCCUGGGGACCAGGAAAUAAAGAGUGCUUGAGUCAUCUAUGCUAUGUGGGCUUCAGAGUUCACACUCCCCAAGCUCCAUGGAAGCCCAGAUUCUCCACCACAGAUCUACAGUAUUACUUACACAAUGCCAGUGAACUAUACAAGAUGUCAGCCUGUGUCUGUGAUAUAUCACAAAGCCGAGCAGUGGGUUUCUAGGCCAUUAUCUCAAGAAUAAUAAUUCAGGUCUUCUGUGAAUUAUUCUUCGUCUGAGUCAAAACAAAUAAAUAAGCUUUUGUGUUA
rnacentral:lncRNA from 1 species